AUACGUUUCUCGACCUUUUGAAUAAGAUCAAGUGUAGUAUAUGUUCUUAUCAAUUUAAUAUCUAAUAUAAAAAAUUAAAUUAUUUUUAUUUUAAGUAUCAUCAUUACGUUGCACUUAGGGGUGACAAUUCGGGUCGGGUUCGGGUUGGCGGAUUGACGGGUUGGAACAUCAAAACCUGAAUCCGACCUAAUUAAU